GAUGAACGCUGGCGGCGUGCCUAAUACAUGCAAGUCGAGCGAACGGACGAGACGCUUGCUUCUCUGAUGUUAGCGGCGGACGGGUGAGUAACACGUGGAUAUCCUACCUAUAAGACUGGGAUAACUUCGGGAAACCGGAGCUUAUACCGGAUGAUAUUUUGAACCGCAUGGUUCAAAAGAGAAAGACGGUCUUGCUGUCACUUAUCGAUGGAUCCGCGCUGCAUUAGCUAGUUGGUAAGGUAACGGCUUACCAAGGCAACGAUGCAUAGCCGACCUGACAGGGUGAUCGGCCACACUGGAGCGGAGACACGGUCCAGACUCCUACGGGAGGCAGCAGUAGGGAAUCGUCCGCAGUGGGCGAGAGCCUGACGGAGCGGCGCCGCGUGAGUGAUGAAGGUCUUCGGAGCGUAAAACUCUGUUAUUAGGGAAGAACAUAUGUGUAAGUAACUGUGCACAGCUUGACGGUACCUAGUCAGAAAGCCCCGGCUAACUACGUG
rnacentral:rRNA from 1 species